GGAGUGUACCGGCACUGCUGUUGGAGCUGCUGGAUUGCACAGGAACUGCAGACUGAGGCCAUUCCUGCUCACGUGGCUACAUAAGCCAGCUCCUGAUCUUUGCUGUGGUUUCUGAAAGUAAUCACAGGAAGAGAAGAAA